AUUGAACGCUGGCGGCAUGCCUUACACAUGCAAGUCGAACGGCAGCACGGGGCAACCUGGUGGCGAGUGGCGAACGGGUGAGUAAUGCAUCGGAACGUACCUUUCAGUGGGGGAUAACGUAGCGAAAGUUACGCUAAUACCGCAUAUUCUGUGAGCAGGAAAGCAGGGGAUCGCAAGACCUUGCGCUGAUUGAGCGGCCGGUGUCAGAUUAGCUAGUUGGUGAGGUAAAGGCUCACCAAGGCGACGAUCUGUGGCGGGUCUGAGAGGAUGAUCCGCCACACUGGAACUGAGACACGGUCCAGACUCCUACGGGAGGCAGCAGUGGGGAAUUUUGGACAAUGGGGGCAACCCUGAUCCAGCCAUGCCGCGUGAGUGAAGAAGGCCUUCGGGUUGUAAAGCUCUUUCGGCCGGGAAGAAAUCGCACGGGCUAAUACCCUGUGUGGAUGACGGUACCGGAGUAAGAAGCACCGGCUAACUACGUGCCAGCAGCCGCCGUAACAC
rnacentral:rRNA from 1 species